UAAUGCCAUUGUCCCUGUCUGCUGA
rnacentral:piRNA from 1 species